CGACUCUCGGCAACGGAUAUCUCGGCUCUCGCAUCGAUGAAGAACGUAGCGAAAUGCGAUACCUGGUGUGAAUUGCAGAAUCCCGCGAACCAUCGAGUCUUUGAACGCAAGUUGCGCCCGAGGCCACUCGGCUGAGGGCACGCCUGCCUGGGCGUCACGCC
rnacentral:rRNA from 1 species